UGCUGAUGAAUUUUAUGUAUGGGCUUAGGUGGAAUUCUAAUUUUCUUAUCUUUUGUUUUUGUACAUUUAAGAAUCCUAAUAUAAUUUAAGUAGCCCGUAUUUGAGUUUUUACUAUUUUUGGCUGUAAUGGAUAGCGUUGCCAUGAAUAGUCAUGUACAUGUCAUUUGGAGGAUUUAAAUACACAUUUUGGAUGGGUAUAUGGCUAGGAUUGGAAUUCCUGGGGUGUAUGGUUUAUAUGCAUGUGUCCAGCUUUGAGAUACUGCCAAAUAUUUUUCCAAAGUGGUUGUAACCAUUUACCUUUCACUCCAAUGUAAGAGUUCUAGUUUCUCUGCUCGUUGAUUUUUAAUGUAUAUGACAAAUCAAUUUAUGAUUGUCGUUUAUAUUGAUUUCUAAAAAUUCUUUAUUUAUUAUUUAAAAUAUUUCGUAUUUCCUAAACUUACCUCUUAGCUUUUAGAAGCUUCUUGUAUAUUAGAAUCUUUCAUGUGGAAAUUCAAAUAAGCUAUAGUUAAUGGCAGUUUGUAUAUUUGCUUUUCAUUUCCACAGUUUUUACUUCUUCUCAGUCUACAUAAUUUGGCUGAGUCCUCAAAUAAAAAAUUGAUGCUCACAACCAGAAGGACCCACAACGAGAAUAUACAACUAUGUACUAAGGGGCUUUGGGGAGAAGAGGAAGAAAAAAAAUUAAUAAAUUACCAUAUCAAAGUCAUGCUUUCUCAAAUAAUUCUAAUUCUGUUUCCCUUGAAACUAAUAUGCAGGAAAAGCAAUUUUAUUAUGGAAUAG
rnacentral:lncRNA from 1 species